AGAGUUUGAUCAUGGCUCAGAUUGAACGCUGGCGGCAGGCCUAACACAUGCAAGUCGAACGGUAACAGGAAGCAGCUUGCUGCUUUGCUGACGAGUGGCGGACGGGUGAGUAAUGUCUGGGAAACUGCCUGAUGGAGGGGGAUAACUACUGGAAACGGUGGCUAAUACCGCAUAACGUCGCAAGACCAAAGAGGGGGACCUUCGGGCCUCUUGCCAUCAGAUGUGCCCAGAUGGGAUUAGCUGGUUGGUGAGGUAACGGCUCACCAAGGCGACGAUCCCUAGCUGGUCUGAGAGGAUGACCAGCCACACUGGAACUGAGACACGGUCCAGACUCCUACGGGAGGCAGCAGUGGGGAAUAUUGCACAAUGGGCGCAAGCCUGAUGCAGCCAUGCCGCGUGUAUGAAGAAGGCCUUCGGGUUGUAAAGUACUUUCAGCGGGGAGGAAGGUGUUGUGGUUAAUAACCGCAGCAAUUGACGUUACCCGCAGAAGAAGCACCGGCUAACUCCGUGCCAGCAGCCGCGGUAAUACGGAGGGUGCAAGCGUUAAUCGGAAUUACUGGGCGUAAAGCGCACGCAGGCGGUCUGUCAAGUCGGAUGUGAAAUCCCCGGGCUCAACCUGGGAACUGCAUUCGAAACUGGCAGGCUUGAGUCUUGUAGAGGGGGGUAGAAUUCCAGGUGUAGCGGUGAAAUGCGUAGAGAUCUGGAGGAAUACCGGUGGCGAAGGCGGCCCCCUGGACAAAGACUGACGCUCAGGUGCGAAAGCGUGGGGAGCAAACAGGAUUAGAUACCCUGGUAGUCCACGCCGUAAACGAUGUCUACUUGGAGGUUGUGCCCUUGAGGCGUGGCUUCCGGAGCUAACGCGUUAAGUAGACCGCCUGGGGAGUACGGCCGCAAGGUUAAAACUCAAAUGAAUUGACGGGGGCCCGCACAAGCGGUGGAGCAUGUGGUUUAAUUCGAUGCAACGCGAAGAACCUUACCUGGUCUUGACAUCCACAGAACUUUCCAGAGAUGGAUUGGUGCCUUCGGGAACUGUGAGACAGGUGCUGCAUGGCUGUCGUCAGCUCGUGUUGUGAAAUGUUGGGUUAAGUCCCGCAACGAGCGCAACCCUUAUCCUUUGUUGCCAGCGGUUAGGCCGGGAACUCAAAGGAGACUGCCAGUGAUAAACUGGAGGAAGGUGGGGAUGACGUCAAGUCAUCAUGGCCCUUACGACCAGGGCUACACACGUGCUACAAUGGCGCAUACAAAGAGAAGCGACCUCGCGAGAGCAAGCGGACCUCAUAAAGUGCGUCGUAGUCCGGAUUGGAGUCUGCAACUCGACUCCAUGAAGUCGGAAUCGCUAGUAAUCGUGGAUCAGAAUGCCACGGUGAAUACGUUCCCGGGCCUUGUACACACCGCCCGUCACACCAUGGGAGUGGGUUGCAAAAGAAGUAGGUAGCUUAACCUUCGGGAGGGCGCUUACCACUUUGUGAUUCAUGACUGGGGUGAAGUCGUAACAAGGUAACCGUAGGGGAACCUGCGGUUG
rnacentral:rRNA from 1 species